GACCAGUGGAGGUCCACAAAGAUCUAUGCUGGGUCCCCUGUUAUUUGUGAAGUACAUAAAUGACUUUGACAUAAAUGUAAAUGUGUUGCUUAGUCAGUUUGCAGAUGAGACCAAGAUUGCUGGGGCCAUUGAC